AAUGAAAUGCCUGAUUUUAAGGAUUAUUCUGAUAGGAUAAAUUAUGUAAUUUAUUACUUUCAUUA
rnacentral:tRNA from 1 species